UUUAUGUACAUAGUAAAACAAUGGAGUCAAUUCGUCACACGUAGGAAACAAUAACAAUGCAUAUGGUAUAAUAUUAAAUUCUGAGAAUAUAAUUGGUAAUUUUAUACUGAAAAAAGUAGGUAUUAGUUUUUUCAUUAAAAUAAAAUAAGUUAAAAUCUAAAAAAGAUAUAAAUAAAAUGAUUAACCUUUUGUAAUUGCUCUUUUAAUUAAAAUUGUUGAAUGGAAAAUCCUAAUAGUUACGACUUUAAAAGAUAACUUCAAGAUAAGUUAAUUUCUAUUGUUCCUAUGAUAGUGUGAGUGAACUUUAAAACCAAAUUUAUUUUGUACCAAUAUUAAAGGUGUUAUAUUUGUGUACCUACUAAUAUAUGUUCACCUUAUUUAUCAUUAUUUACUUGUAUUGUGUACAUUAAAGAAUAAAUAAAUAUAUUUUAUUGACUUAUAGGGACACAAUACAAUCCGGUUACGGUGGCAAGAAGUUGCCUCUAACCGAUCUAUCUCGAAGUCAUUGGGAAUAGAUUUUCGUUGAUUUAGAGUGAAGGCCCAGGCCAGCUAAGGUUGCUUGACUGGGAGGCCAAGUCAACAAUUGGUACAAACGACAAAAAUGACACUCAUUGGCUUUGUGUUAGAUAUUGGGGCCCGGGACUCGGUGCCACCCAUGCUUUACUUGCCCAGUCCGGCCCUGACAAAAAUCAAAAUAAAAAAGACAGUAUUUCGUCAAUAUUAACUAAAACAAUAAUCAUUGAUUUAUCUGAUUGAUGUUCUUACAUUAUAAAUUUUCCAAUCAACUGUUCUAUAUUAUAUUUCCAUUAAGUUAAUCUGUCAUUAUAAUGUUUGUUUACUAAUAGAAUUGAAGGAAUGUUCACGAAAACACGUUUAGUUUACCGGCCGGACCGCGAUUUGUGCAGUAAAACUAAUAUCUAGUAUUUUUUUAUCUUUAUAAAACCGGUUCCCUAAUGGUGCCGUAGUAUGUUAAGUUCAAGUUUAAUCAAUUCCGUGUCCGAGUUUUGUUUCAUUGAUAUACACAUUCUAACCUAUUUGUUUAAUAUUUUUUCGUUAUUGUUUCUAGAAACUCAGGCAAUAAAAUAGCAAUUUUUCUGGCCUAUUGCCAAUUUUUCUAUGCAAGUGAACUCGAAGACCCUUGUCCGGCAGUGGCGCGGUGACCUGUCUACGUAGUAUACCCUUUUAUUAAAAAAAGUCUAGAUGCAACUAGGCCCUAGUUACUAGGGGUUACUAAGGAAAUGGCGAAAUUAUUAUGUAAGUUACAAACUUACAAUAUUAGUAUCCCGCUUUCACCAAGAAACUAUGUAAGAACUAAGAACCAGGUGUGUUAGUGUUACCUAAGCUUCAAAACACUUAAAUAGGUUCUAUUUGAACACUAACCGCUUAGUGCAUUACUUGGUCGUAAAACUUUAUGCUAGCCAGUACAUUCUAGGUAACUUCCUUACUAAAAUUGUAAAUAUGAAUGUAUGAUUGUUCGUUACGCUUUCGCGCUUAAGCCGCUGAACCGAUUUUGAUUAAUUUGGCUGCAAAGAUAGAUGAGCUGCGGGUUGCAGAAAUGAAUAUUGGGUAAAUCUAUAAAAAUAGAUUAUCUUUCGUAAUAUUUUUAUUACGCGUGUGAAACCGCAGAACUGUGUUAGAAACACAUUAGCAUUUUUUUUAGUGCAGUCGCGAUAUAAGUAAGGUAGGGUAAUUGAUCAAACUUUUAAUGUUAACACAUAAUUAUGAAGAUACCCAGAGCUGAGGACUGCCUGGCGGAUAACCGGGGCUCCGGCUCGAAAAGCAGGUGUUGGGACGGGGUGGUUUUUAGUGAUGUCCAACAAUCAAUAUCAAAGAGUCUGACAAUCGAAAGUCUCGCCUCGCCCAAGGCGGGAGAAGUAAUUGGAUGAUUCCCCCCUCAAAACAGAAACACGUUGUGCAGAUAUUACUUAUACUAUACUAUGUAUACUUGGUACAUACCUAGGUAUAAAUAUCUAGGUUUAUGAUAAAAUAAACUUAUAAUAAGAAUGUCAUUUUAUACUAAUUUGUCUUACUUGUCUAACCUCGGUUAUCAAUUUAAUAUCCUAUAAUACUUGAAUAAGAUGUGCUUUAGCACUAAAAUACAAA